AUCCCUGACCUGUGGGGAAUGAAGGAGAGGUAAAGGGGGCAGCCAGGGAUGUAGACUGGGAAAUGCACUGAAAGAGAGCCCAAGGUGGCUGAGGGCCUAGGGAAGGCAGGAGAGGGUCUAGCCUGCCCUCCAGGUCAUCCUCAUACCUCACCCUCCUCAUGUUGGUGCUGAGAGACAAUCUGGUGGUUCCACCCAGACCGAAGGGCUUCUUUCACAGGGCCUCUCACCACAGAGGGCAAACCAGGAAAACCACAUCAGUACAAUGUGACUACAGUUCGGAGGAGAGCUCAGCAAUUGUGGGACAGAGAGGGACCAUUGGCUUAGCCUGAGGCUACACGGAAGAGCUCCCAGAGGAAAGGGAGGAACAGAGGGGUCUGAGAGAGUGUGCCGGGAACCCAGCCUAGGUCCUCUGCAAAAGCCCCCAGCGCUCUGGACACCGAGCCAACUCUCCAGCCCUCUUUUCGAGGGCAUUUUAAUGAGACGAUUGUUCAAGAGAUCUGAGAUAUGCUGGAAGGGGGUCUUGAAACUACCAGGAGAGAUGACGUGGACCCUGCCUCUAUUCCAAGUAGGUACUGUCACUAUGGAACAAACGACCCCAGUUCACUGUUGUCUGUGAUAACUGUCUAUGACCCACAGACUCAGUAGCUCAAGAUUUCACGCAGGACUUGACCAGACGAUUAUUCUCUUUCCUCUUUCCUUCCUCCAUUUUGAAUACUCCUUGGUUUUAUAGACAAUUCAGGUGUUUUUGUUUUUUUACUAUUUAUUCAGUGUGUGUAUGUCUGCAUGCCUGUGCGAAUGGUAUACAUGACUGCGAGAGUGGUA
rnacentral:sRNA from 1 species